CAAGGGGGCUGGAGAAAAAAUGCAAGUCGAGCGGACCGAACGGGAGCUUGCUUCUGUUCGGUUAGCGGCGGACGGGUGAGUAACACGUGGGUAACCUGCCCGUAAGACCGGGAUAACUCCGGGAAACCGGGGCUAAUACCGGAUAACACCGAAGACCGCAUGGUCUUUGGUUGAAAGGUGGCUUUUGCUACCACUUACGGAUGGGCCCGCGGCGCAUUAGCUAGUUGGUGAGGUAACGGCUCACCAAGGCGACGAUGCGUAGCCGGCCUGAGAGGGUGACCGGCCACACUGGGACUGAGACACGGCCCAGACUCCUACGGGAGGCAGCAGUAGGGAAUCUUCCGCAAUGGACGAAAGUCUGACGGAGCGACGCCGCGUGAGCGAAGAAGGUCUUCGGAUCGUAAAGCUCUGUUGUUAGGGAAGAAGAAGUACCGUUCGAAUAGGGCGGUACGGUGACGGUACCUAACGAGAAAGCCCCGGCUAACUACGUGCCAGCAGCCGCGGUAAUACGUAGGGGGCGAGCGUUGUCCGGAAUUAUUGGGCGUAAAGCGCGCGCAGGCGGUCCCUUAAGUCUGAUGUGAAAGCCCACGGCUCAACCGUGGAGGGUCAUUGGAAACUGGGGGACUUGAGUGCAGAAGAGGAGAGCGGAAUUCCACGUGUAGCGGUGAAAUGCGUAGAGAUGUGGAGGAACACCAGUGGCGAAAGCGGCUCUCUGGUCUGUAACUGACGCUGAGGCGCGAAAGCGUGGGGAGCAAAACAGGAUUAAAUACCCUGGGUAGUCCACGCCGUAAACGAUGAGUGCUAGUGGUAGAGGGUUAACCCUUUAUGCUGUAAGCUACGCGUAAAGCACUCCGCCUUGGGAGUACCGCGCAGCGUGAGACGUCAAGGAAUUGACGGAGGGCGCCAAGCGUGGACAUUGGCUAAAUCCAAGCACACGCGAAGAAACCUUAUCCAGAGUCCGUA
rnacentral:rRNA from 1 species